rnacentral:rRNA from 1 species
AACACAUGCAAGUCGAACGGAAAGGCCCAGCUUGCUGGGUACUCGAGUGGCGAASGGGUGAGUAACACGUGGGUGAUCUGCCCUGGACUCUGGGAUAAGCCUGGGAAACUGGGUCUAAUACCGGAUAGGACCACUGAUUGCAUGGUUGGUGGUGGAAAGCUUUUGCGGUUCASGAUGGGCCCGCGGCCUAUCAKCUUGUUGGUGGGGUAAUGGCCUACCAAGGCGACGACGGGUASCCGACCUGAGARGGUGAUCRGCCACMCUGGKACUGAKACACGGCCCASACUCCUACGGGAGGCAGCAGUGGGGAAUAUUGCACAAUGGGCGCAAGCCUGAUGCAGCGACSCCGCGUGAGGGAUGACGGCCUUCGGGUUGUAAACCUCUUUCKCUAGGGACGAAGCGUAAGUGACGGUACCUGGAGAAGAAGCACCGGCCAA